ACGCCAUAUAGUUUCAUCAAUCAAAUAUUGCACCUACUAGAGGCAUGUUUUUCUUCAUGAAUGAUCAUUAUAGUUUACAAACCUUAUUUCCUUCUUCUUUGUGGCAAAACUUUCAAGUUAUAUUGUAUGCAACUCUUUUUCCAUGUUUCCAUUAAGAAAACUCACCUUAACAUUCAUUUGCCAAAAAUUUAAGUCAUGGUAAGGAGGUAUUGCAAGAAGCAUCAAAUACUACAUGCAACCAAUAAGGAUGUUUAUUAAUUCAGAACUGUAUCAGACCAAACCAACAACAAGAAAACUAUGGAUAUACCAAUCGAAGAUUGGAUUAAAUUGGAUUC
rnacentral:lncRNA from 1 species